rnacentral:lncRNA from 1 species
AUAGGCUGUUUCCAAUUAUUGUCAACAAAAUUCAAAAAACACAUGAUGCGUAGUCCAUGCAUGAAGGAAAUGGAAUGAUGAAUUUCCUUUUAGUGAUGCUGUUGAACAAGAAAUGAGAAUAGGGCAGUGAUUUGAGCUGUCCAUGUUCAAAUGUUGGAUUCUUGUGAUAGUAAAAGAUUCAACCCAUUCUUGGUUAUAAACCACCCUAUCUAACCUUUGAAACAUGUAAGAGUUGGUCCAUGUAAAUGAAUUCCCUUCAAAGUCAGUGUCUACUAGACCACAAUCGAAAAGGGUAGUAGCAAAAUCUUCCAUUGAACCUUCAUGAGGAGUUGCACCAUACAACCAUUUAU